AAGAAGGAACUCAUCCGAAACACCUGAGCCAUCACAGACAUGUGGGGGUCUUGACAGCUUGCCAAGAGCUGGAUUUUGUGGGGGCUACAGAGCAGCUAUCCAUACCGAUAGCA